CCCCCCCCCCCCCCCCCCCCCCAGCCCCGCUUUCCCAGAGACUUUGGACUCGGGGCAAAGCUGCCGUGGGUAAAGCGCAGCUGGGCUCCGAGCAGAGCCGGGCCGGGGGUCGGGCCGGGGGGCGCAGGAUGCUGGCUCCCCUUGGUGCGCUCCGCUCCGCGCCCCCUCCCGCGGGCCGCGGGUCCCUCCGGGGGUCCCGGGGCGCUGCCCAGGCUGCCCGAGAGGUGGCGCCGGCGCCUCGCCGGAGCCCCCCCGCCGCCGGCCACCCCCACCCAGCGCCGGGUCGCCUGCAUCAGCCAUAAAACCAUUGAGGAUAUCAAGACAGGCGCCAGACCUGCCACCACCUCUAUCCCUAAAAGUCCCUCCUCGCCCAGGCCAGCUCAGGGGAGCAUCAGCUCAAGUGACAUUUCUAGCUGCCAUCACCUUGGGCCAUCCGAAGGUGGGGGAAGAGGGAGAGAAAAACUCCUGCUCAGCCCAAAGCUUUCUCCCGCUCAAACAGCGCGAAUUUAAACCAAACCUCCAUCCCCAAGUUGAAAUGGGAAGGGUCCCGUUCCCCCGCGAAGGGGAACAGUUUGAUGUUCGUGAGGGCAUUUUUAAAUUAAAAAAUCGAGGGGGAAAAAAAAACCCCCACAACUUCAUCACCACUUUCACCCCCUGCAUCUGCCUUUAUCUCGCCAGUGCAGGAACUGGGGGCCGCGGGCCGAGGGGCAGGCAGAGCAUAAAACAGGAUACAGGCUGGAAGUACAUCCUUAUAAUAUUUAUUACUGGCGGAGGAUGAAUCGCUUUUCAAUAUACGGGCCACUAACUGUUGAAGGGAUGGGGGGGAAAAAAAAAAAUCUCAUUAAGAAAUAUAUAUGUUCUGCUAAAGGAUGUGCUCAUGGACUGGCAGAGGUGCAGCAGGAGCUGCCAGCUCUCCUCAGCUCCUCUCUCAGUGACCUCCCAGGCCACUGGUCCAGCCUGGAUGUCUGUCCCCGUUCCAGCCGUUUUCCAACUUCAUCUCGAUGUAUCACCAGCCUGAGGGUCAGAAGGGGCGAUUCCAAUAAAAGGGGGGGAAAUAGAUUUUUAAAAAAACAUGUAUUUCCAGGCAAUAACUAACUGGGAAAGCCAAAUUCCCAGCCUGGACAGGAGAGGAAAACGAGCCCAGCCACAGCAUCAACUCCUGGGCACUUUACCUGGAAACUUUGAAGGAGGGCUCUGCAUUAAAAUUUAACCGAUCUAUUCUCCAAUUCUUCACUUUUGCGUUAUUAAUUUAUGACAGAUAAAAGCAUAGCUGAGCCUUUCUCAUUAACUUUUCAAACGCCACUUAAUAUUGUUCCAUUAAAAGAGGUGACUUUAGUAGCCUCUGGAUCGACUUUAAAAGCGAGAGGAAUAAAGACGGAAAAGGUACAUUAAACAGCCUGCUUAAAACUCGUCCUUCCCCCCCCAACAAUUCAAAUGACACCAUCCCGACUGGUUCGUACUAGCUCCUUCCAGGAGAAAUAUCUUAAUAUUGAGAACGGGAAAGGGGGUGGAGGAGAAAGGCAGAAGAGGGAUAUAUAUCUUUCAACCCCUCCAUCCUCCCAGGCACUUCGGGGAGGGUUGGGGUGAAAGCAUUUCACAGUACGCCCAAGACAUUUCAAUAAAAAUUUAUUGAAACUUCAGUGACUUUUAAAAGGGGGAAAAAUUACAGAAAAAAAAAAUAGCAAGAACUUCUCAACAUUUAUAUAACACAAAAUAUACCUUCAUUUUUUUUUUUUCUUUGAACCAGCUCUGAGCACCUGACUUUCAACCCAAGAAAAUAUGCACUCACUCAAACAAAGACAACAAUAAGCACAGUAGUAAAAUUCCGUUGCGGGGUUGUUUUCUGACACACCGAGGAAACGGGCAAAAUAAUAGAAAGUAAAGAAAAUCUUAGAAUCUUCACUUUUUUCUUUUUUUUUUUUUUUCCCCCCCCCCCCCCCCCCCCCCCCCCCCUUUUUUUUUUUUUUUUUCCUCUCAAGCCACUGGAGAAGCCUGUUGUCGUGUAUAAGUAUAUAUAAUUUUGUGGUUGUUGACAUUUUGAACACUGAAGAAAUCGAGGAUUAAAAGCUACCAUGGCACACUGCUUUGUCUUUUUCUCUCUUUGAAUUUUUUGUACGUCUUUGAUUAAUUUGGUUCUUUUCUGCUUUGCCUUUGCAUUCGGCUCCUUGACCAAAGGACGAGGUUUUCCUGGGCUGAGCUCUGCUUUAAAAGCUGAGCCCUCACAAAUACGGGAAUUUCUCCUCUGGAUCGGGAUCUAUGUUUAAAGGAAUUACCAGCUUGAAAUGAAAACGACUAAAAAUAAAAACAGAAGGAAAAAAAAAAAAGAAGACCGCUGCAGUCAUAUUUACAGAGAUAUGUACAAUGUCAAUAAAUUAAAGUUUAAUUUCGAGUAUUCAUAUUCCACGUAUUUACAAGAGUUAUCAAAUAAUUACAUAAAUACUUUGUUUUAAUAAUAGUGUCCGCUCUUUUCUUCUUCUCAGUAUGUUAAACCUUGUUAUUGCAUAUACAAUUAAAGAGGGAAAGCUGUGAUAAACCUACAGUCGAGCUACAGAGGUUUUUAGAUAAAAUAAAUUCACUUUUUUUUCCUUUCCAACUACACUUCUUAUUUUUGUUGCUACAAGGGAGGAUGUUUAAGGUAGAGGGACAAAGGUCUUAUUUUUGUUUUUAUUAUUAUUAAUAAUAAUUUUUCCCUGGGAUUUGAAACGAUCAUUAAAAAUAAACAACAAAACCCCACUGAAAUGAAAAAUACCACCACCCCCCCCAUCAAAAAAAAAAAAAAAAAAGAAAAAAAAACCCCCCCCCCCCCCCCCCCCCCCCCCCCCCCCCCCCCCCCCCCCCCCCCCCCCCCCCCCCCCCC
rnacentral:lncRNA from 12 species